GUGAGUAACGCUUGGGAAUCUGCCUGAUAGUGGGGGACAACCCGGGGAAACUCGGGCUAAUACCGCAUACGCACUACGGUGGAAAGCCGGGGACCGCAAGGCCUGGCGCUGACAGAUGAGCCCAAGUCGGAUUAGCUAGUUGGUAGGGUAACGGCCUACCAAGGCGACGAUCCGUAACUGGUCUGAGAGGACGACCAGUCACACCGGAACUGAGACACGGUCCGGACUCCUACGGGAGGCAGCAGUGGGGAAUAUUGGACAACGGGCGAAAGCCUGAUCCAGCGACGCCGCGUGGGUGAAGAAGGCCUACGGGUUGUAAAGCCCUUUCGGUGGGGAAGAAAAGCCUCGAGUUAACACCUCGGGGUCUUGACGUAACCCAUAGAAGAAGCACCGGCUAACUCUGUGCCAGCAGCCGCGGUAAUACAGAGGGUGCGAGCGUUAAUCGGAAUUACUGGGCGUAAAGCGCGCGUAGGCGGCUUUGCAAGUCGGGUGUGAAAUCCCCAGGCUUAACCUGGGAACUGCAUUCGAGA
rnacentral:rRNA from 1 species